rnacentral:sRNA from 1 species
AAAUAAACCUGACCGACAGCGUUAUCCCGAUUUAAAGAGCGAUUUUAGAAUAAAGUCGAUUUAAUCGGGAUUAAGCAAAGGGCGGGACUAUCG